rnacentral:rRNA from 1 species
GACGAACGCUGGCGGCGUGCUUAACACAUGCAAGUCGAGCGGUAAGGCCCUUCGGGGUACACGAGCGGCGAACGGGUGAGUAACACGUGGGUGACCUGCCUCUAGCUCUGGGAUAAGCCUGGGAAACUGGGUCUAAUACCGGAUAUGACUCCACGGCGCAUGUUGUGGGGUGGAAAGCCUUGUGUGGCUAGAGAUGGGCCCGCGGCCUAUCAGCUUGUUGGUGGGGUGAUGGCCUACCAAGGCGACGACGGGUAGCCGGCCUGAGAGGCGACCGGCCACACUGGGACUGAGACACGGCCCAGACUCCUACGGGAGGCAGCAGUGGGGAAUCUUGCGCAAUGGGCGAAAGCCUGACGCAGCGACGCCGCGUGAGGGAUGACGGCCUCGGUG